GUGAGCUCAACUAGCUCAGUAAAGAAUAUUAUGACUAAGAUAAUAUAGAACAAAUUAUCGUUAGUCUUCAACAGGAAAAAAUCUGAUAGAAUACAAUAAACAACAAGUUUCAGAUCAGCAGCGGAAAUAAUAAUUCAUAGAUGAGUUACGUAGAGAAUGAAAUCUACUAUUAUCUAUGAAUUUAAAAGUCCAUCGUCAAUAUUUUAUCCCUGUAACAUCAAUCAAUAUUCAUCUUGAAACAAAUUUUCAUCUUUGCACUACAGGCCAAAGAUAUUCAUCAGUCGGUCAUGUUCAUCUCAACACCUGUUCAUCUUUGCACUACGGGCCAAAGAUAUUCAUUAUAAAAUCAUUUAUCUUUGCACUACAGGCC
rnacentral:lncRNA from 1 species